UACGUAGGGGGCAAGCGUUGUCCGGAUUUAUUGGGCGUAAAGAGCGUGUAGGCGGCCAGGUAGGUCCGUUGUGAAAACUCGAGGCUCAACCUCGAGACGCCGAUGGAAACCAUCUGGCUAGAGUCCGGAAGAGGAGAGUGGAAUCCCCGGUGUAGCGGUGAAAUGCGCAGAUAUCGGGAAGAACACCCGUGGCUAAGGCGGCUCUCUAGUACGGUACUGACGCUGAGACGCGAAAGCGUGGGGAGCGAACAGG
rnacentral:rRNA from 1 species